rnacentral:tRNA from 1 species
GGUGGCUCAGUGGUAGAGUACUUGCCUGGCAGGCAUGAGGCUCUGGGUUCGAUUCCUUAGCACCA